ACGGCAUUAAGCGCUUGCACUUUUUGGACGUCGACCGGCGCACGGGUGAGUAACGCGUAUCCAACCUUCCCAUGACUAAGGGAUAACCUGCCGAAAGGCAGACUAAUACCUUAUGGUCUUCACUGACGGCAUCAGAUGUGAAGUAAGGAUUUAUCGGUUAUGGAUGGGGAUGCGUCUGAUUAGCUUGUUGGCGGGGUAACGGCCCACCAAGGCAACGAUCAGUAGGGGUUCUGAGAGGAAGGUCCCCCACAUUGGAACUGAGACACGGUCCAAACUCCUACGGGAGGCAGCAGUGAGGAAUAUUGGUCAAUGGGCGAGAGCCUGAACCAGCCAAGUAGCGUGCAGGAUGACGGCCCUAUGGGUUGUAAACUGCUUUUGUAUGGGGAUAAAGUCAGUCACGUGUGAUUGUUUGCAGGUACCAUACGAAUAAGGACCGGCUAAUUCCGUGCCAGCAGCCGCGGUAAUACGGAAGGUCCGGGCGUUAUCCGGAUUUAUUGGGUUUAAAGGGAGCGUAGGCUGGAGAUUAAGUGUGUUGUGAAAUGUAGACGCUCAACGUCUGACUUGCAGCGCAUACUGGUUUCCUUGAGUACGCACAACGUUGGCGGAAUUCGUCGUGUAGCGGUGAAAUGCUUAGAUAUGACGAAGAACUCCGAUUGCGAAGGCAGCUGACGGGAGCGCAACUGACGCUGAAGCUCGAAGGUGCGGGUAUCGAACAGGAUUAGAUAUCCUGGUAGUCCGCACAGUAAACGAUGGAUGCCCGCUGUUGGUACCUGGUAUCAGCGGCUAAGCGAAAGCAUUAAGCAUCCCACCUGGG
rnacentral:rRNA from 1 species